rnacentral:rRNA from 1 species
UACGUAGGGGGCAAGCGUUGUCCGGAUUUAUUGGGCGUAAAGAGCGUGUAGGCGGUCAGGUAGGUCCGUUGUGAAAACUCGAGGCUCAACCUCGAGACGCCGAUGGAAACCAUCUGACUAGAGUCCGGAAGAGGAGAGUGGAAUUCCUGGUGUAGCGGUGAAAUGCGCAGAUAUCAGGAAGAACACCCGUGGCUAAGGCGGCUCUCUAGUACGGUACUGACGCUGAGACGCGAAAAGCGUGGGGAGCGAACAGG